rnacentral:rRNA from 1 species
AUACGUAGGUGGCAAGCGUUGUCCGGAAUUAUUGGGCGUAAAGCGCGCGCAGGUGGUUCCUUAAGUCUGAUGUGAAAGCCCCCGGCUCAACCGGGGAGGGUCAUUGGAAACUGGGGAACUUGAGUGCAGAAGAGGAUAGUGGAAUUCCAAGUGUAGCGGUGAAAUGCGUAGAGAUUUGGAGGAACACCAGUGGCGAAGGCGACUAUCUGGUCUGUAACUGACACUGAGGCGCGAAAGCGUGGGGAGCAAACAGGAUUAGAUUCACUGGUAGUCCACGCCGUAAACGAUGAGUGCUAAGUGUUGGGGGGUUUCCGCCCCUCAGUGCUGCAGCUAACGCAUUAAGCACUCCGCCUGGGGAGUACGGUCGCAAGACUGAAACUCAAAUGAAUUGACGGGG